GCAAACAGCCAUAUCACUCUGCAACUGGCAACCCCCUGAAGCUAAGCACAUGUGAGCAUGGCCAGUACCUGGAUGGGAGACCUCCUGGGAAAGCUAAGGUUGCUGCUGGAA
rfam:Lepisosteus oculatus linkage group LG9, whole genome shotgun sequence.